rnacentral:rRNA from 1 species
UAGGGAAUCUUCCGCAAUGGGCGAAAGCCUGACGGAGCAACGCCGCGUGAGUGAUGAAGGUCUUCGGAUCGUAAAACUCUGUUCUUAGGGAAGAACAAAUGUGUAAGUAACUAUGCACGUCUUGACGGUACCUAAUCAGAAAGCCACGGCUAACUACGUGCCAGCAGCCGCGGUAAUACGUAGGUGGCAAGCGUUAUCCGGAAUUAUUGGGCGUAAAGCGCGCGUAGGCGGUGUUUUAAGUCUGAUGGGAAAGCCCACGGCUCAACCGUGGAGGGUCAUUGGAAACUGGAAAACUUGAGUGCAGAAGAGGAAAGGGGAAUUCCAUGUGUAGCGGUGAAAUGCGCAGAGAUAUGGAGGAACACCAGUGGCGAAGGCGACUUUCUGGUCUGGAACUGACGCUGAUGGGCGAAAGCGUGGGGAUCAAACAGG